GCCGAAGUGGCGGAAUUGGUAGACGCGCUAGAUUCAGGGUCUAGUGGGAAAUUGCUCCCGUAGGGGUUCAAAUCCCCUCUUCGGCACCA
rnacentral:tRNA from 1 species